GACCCCGCACAAGCGGCGGAGCAUGCGGCUUAAUUCGAUGAUACCCGUAGAACCUUACCUGGACUUGACAUAUAGGGUCAAGCUAUAGAAAUAUAGUGUGCAUUAGCGCCCUAUACAGGUGGUGCAUGGCUGUCGUCAGCUCGUGUCGUGAGAUGUUGGUUAAGUCCCGCAACGAGCGCAACCCCUGUCCUAUGUUGCCAGCAUUUAGUUGGGGACUCAUAGGAGACUGCCGGUGAUAAACCGGAGGAAGGUGUGGAUGACGUCAAGUCCUCAUGGCCCUUACGGGUUGGGCUACACACGUGCUACAAUGGUGGUGACAAUGGGUUAAUCCCAAAAAGCCAUCUCA
rnacentral:rRNA from 1 species